UGUACAGUAUUUUACAGCAUGAGAGAAAAAUAUGACUUCAAACUUUAGUUUCUAUAUUUUAGGUGCUGUUGAAAGGCAGGUGCUCCUUUUUGUAGAGAAGUCUUUUGACCUCUCCUGAGACCUCUGUUGUCCCAAGAGUGCAGCUCUUGAAUGAUGGCUAUAUUAUAAAUGGUGUCCAAUUCCAAAAAACGUUGUACUGCGCAAGAAGUCAUGAAGCACAUUCGUUCCAUAUAUGAACUGAAACUUCAGAACAGCACAGAAAUAGAGAUCCUGAGAGCAUCGAACACACCUUGAAAAACCUACGCUACAACAUGGAACUGAAAUGAGUGGAUCAGUUCUGUGCAUGCUUUUUAAGGACAGUCAUUUACAUUCAACCUUCUGUUAACCUGUCUCAACUCGAUCAGAACUCAACACCUCCAUCAUCACUAGCUCAGACACCAACUGUAGCACUAUACAUCAUGUCCAGCAAUCAUCACCAUCCCAGUUACCAACAGUCCAGCAUUGAUCGACUUCUUUGCCAUUCCAGCAAUAUCGCAAAAUACCCAGAAUCCGGAUGGACCCAUUGUCAUAUGAUUUUGUUGUGGGUAUUAUAAAUAAGAGCGGACACUGGAUUCUGAGCAUAUGUAUGUAUGUAUUAAGUCAAUCCAUAUUUAUACAGAGCAUGUAAAUCAUGCCCAUAAAGACACACAAGCUGAUCAUUUGAAAGACAUGCAGACUAGAUUUCUUAUAAAUAUUUGUAAGUAAUUAUUUACAUUUAACAAAACCUUGGUUAGCCCCCACAGUGAAUCUGUGUUUUGCUAAAUCAUUCACUAUUUUUAAGGUUUAAGACACUACGCUGAAAUAAUAGCAGUCUUUAACCAAUUGCAUUGUGGGAAGAUAGCCUUACCCCAAACUCCUAAAAAACACAUUAGACAGCUAAGAUGGUCUAUAAUAUGUUUUUGAUUGCAUUUAUGAUUGACACGUUUAUAUUUAAAUUUGACUAAUAUGUUCUGUAUCCUCAUGAGAAAUGGUGCCUGCUUUUGAAUCCUCUGGGAGAAUCUCGGAAAAGAUGUCAAGAGACCACAAGGGCAUUUAUGUGAAAGUGUGGCCACAAUAUUUUAAGGUGGUCAUGUAGCAGCCUGCCUCACUCUCUGCAGCAGGACUCUGUAUCUUGUGGUGUCCUAGCAUUAAAAAAAAGAUUCUUCGGGGUGAAAAUUUUGAAUUUCACCACAUCAGAGAAAGAGGUGAGAAAAAUGUGGCACCAAAAAUAGCCACCACCCUCCUCCAGAAUUCAGAAGAUCUCAGCAACUUGUGCUACUAUUGUGGUAAUGGCAAUGAAGAAACACAAUGGGUAACUUGGUUCUGUUUCCACCUCAUUUCUGUGUGCAUGGAGUUUGCAUGUUCUUCUCGUGCUUGGUGGAUUUUCUUCUGUUACUCUAGUAAGGAGGAACCCAAAGUCCAAAGACAUGAACAAUAGAUUUGCUGUGAUGGCUGUGACCAAUGGUUUCACAUCAGCUGUGUUCAAUGUCCUGCAGUUGUAAAGGAAUGCUUCUGCCCAGCCUGCAUGUAAAAUACUGACUGGAAUUUUUUUUUUAAUGGUUUCUUUUUUUUUAUUGUUUGGGUUAUUUUUUUUUAUGCUAUGCUUAAAUCUUUCUAUUUAUAAUAAACUUGUUACUAUUCUUUGGUAUUGUUGGUAAAAAAUAGUUUUUAAUAUUUAAAGAGCUGGUUGUUAGUUAAAUUUUAAAUAAAUAUAAAGAGCUGUCUAAAGAAUUUAAAUCCAUUUAGAGAAGUGUUUGUGUUCCAUUUAGAGAGGUGUGUUUUUUUUUUUUUUUUUGUGUGUGUUUUAAAGUUAUUUAAAGAGCUGUAUGUAAAUAAAUUCUUAACACAGGGCAUAUACCAGUAAGUGCUGCGGGUUUAAUGUCUAUAACCUUUUCCUAAUUAGAGUUAGACAGGGAGGGCAUUACAUACGACUUACAUUUUUAUCUCAUUACACAUCUGAGCAGUUGAGGGUUAAGGGCCUUGCUCAAGGGCCCAACAGUUGCCACUAAGAGCCUAAAUGUCAAAUGCCUAAAUGUAGGGCAUUUCAUGGCACAGCUCUUUGCCAUAAAAAACGUCUUCUAGGUAGAGAGAACCAUCCCCAGACACGAGACGCAUCCCAAAGAGACACACGGGGCAUCCAUGUGACGAGAUCACAAACCAGAAGCGGGGCACCAGGAUGGGUCAGACCGGUCUGAAGGGCAGAGGGAGUCUGGAUCACUGGCAGCUCAGGAACAUGUGUAGCUCGUCAGAGAGAGAGAGAAGAGAAAGCAGGAGAGAGAGCAGAAGAGAAGAGAUAAUAAUUAGGUCUGGUCACACUCGUAUAAUGUAUAUUUGUAGCAUAACUAAAAGGAAGAGCCAGAAGGAAACACAGACAGGUUUUCAGAUGGCUCCCUGAGAUGAAAGCAACCAAUCACUUCACCGUCAACAAACCUGAGUGAUCAAUGAGUGUGGGGAAGACAGCAUCUAAACAUACCAGUUUACCAUAAUACUCUACGUCCAUGAGUCCCCCAGAUCUGCUCCUUUACCUAAGGCUAAUCUAUUUAUAAAAAUGCUUGAUUAAAUAAAUAGGUUUUCAGCCUAGACUAAAACACUAAGAUUGUGUCUGAGUCCUGAACACUAUUUGGAAGGCUAUUCCAUAAUUUUGGGGCUUUGUAAGGAAAAGCUCUGUAGUUUUCAUUAUACGUGGUACUGACAAGCAGCCUGCAUCCUUUGAUUGAAGUAGGCGUGGCGGAUCGUAAGACACUAGCAGUUCACUCGGAUACUGCGGUGCGAGACCAUUUCAUGUUUUGUAUGUCAAAAGUAGUAUUAAUAUUAUAUAUAUUAAAAGUAGUAUAUCUUCUGGUUCUAGUGAGGACUCUCGCUGCUGCAUUCUGGACUAGCUGAAGCUUGUUUUUGCACCUAGUUGAACAACCAGACAGUAGGGCAUUACAAUAGUCCAACCUCGAGGUGACACGCAGCGCAGCUUCCCGACACAGAGCAGCAAGCGCUCCAGUAUGGAACUCCAAAGUGUUAAAAAUUGAAGAAAUAAAUAGGGCAUAAUGAAAUAAAAAACUCUAUGAAUAAAUAAGAC